rnacentral:rRNA from 1 species
AGUGGCGGACGGGUGAGUAACACGUAAGAACUUGCCUUUAGGAGGGGGACAACAACUGGAAACGGUUGCUAAUACCCCAUAUGCUUUCGAGUGAAAUGGAUUUCCGCCUAAAGAGAAGCUUGCGGCUGAUUAGCUUGUUGGUAGGGUAAUGGCCUACCAAGGCGACGAUCAGUAUCUGGUUUGAGAGGACGAUCAGACACACUGGAACUGAGACACGGUCCAGACUCCUACGGGAGGCAGCAGUAGGGAAUUUUCCGCAAUGGGCGAAAGCCUGACGGAGCAAUACCGCGUGAGGGAUGACUGCCUAUGGGUUGUAAACCUCUUUUUUCAGGGAGGAAUAAAUGACGUGUACCUGAAGAAUAAGCAUCGGCUAACUCCGUGCCAGCAGCCGCGGUAAGACGGGGGAUGCAAGUGUUAUCCGGAAUCACUGGGCGUAAAGCGUCUGUAGGUGGUUAAGUAAGUCAACUUGUUAAAUCUUGAGGCUCAACCUCAAAAUCGCAGUCGAAACUGCUUGACUAGAGUAUAGUAGGGGUAAAGGGAAUUUCCAGUGGAGCGGUGAAAUGCGUAGAUAUUGGAAAGAACACCGAUGGCGAAGGCACUUUACUGGGCUAUUACUAACACUGAGAGACGAAAGCUAGGGUAGCAAAUGGGAUUAGAUACCCCAGUAGUCCUAGCUGUAAACAAUGGAUACUAGAUGUUG